GCGUCAUGCCAGUCAGUUUCCACGCAUCCGUUCGACCGAAGAUGGUAGCCAGUAAUGGGGCAUCGUUGGUGCUGGUGUACCUAAAGGAAGCUUUCGCGACGGAAUUUGUAACAGACGUUGACCAGCGGGCGAGCUACAGUCCAUCCUGUGGAGCGGUCAACGCACGUGUGGCUUCUCGAUACAUGCAGGGGGGACAACGAUGCCGACGUGCACGACCGUGAAGCGUCUUGUGGGGGUCGUAAAAGUCUUCGGCAGCAUAAAAGCGCAGUGGCGGCGCAGCGCCGGGCAUGGUCGCUUAUUUUUCGCAACCCAUAGCCAUACUCACCGCUAAUUCCUCGUAGAUGCAAGUGCUGUACGCACGCAUCAGUGUUUUCUUCAGCAUGAGUUUUGUUCACAUCUGACUGAUAAGAUGGCACAGAGGCAGUGAGCGGUCAGUGAUCUCAGAGCAGGUUCGUGAAAGAGUUCCAAAACUGGUGAGCACGUGAGUCGCAAGUAGUGCCAAUCCAUAGCGACCGGACCGGCGACCAUGUCACUGCUUCGAUACUUCAAGCCUACAGAUCAACGGUUCAGCAACACGCACCAUACCGCUUCGCUGCCAUCUCCAGAAAACUCCCGAACGUCAGGUUUCAUCAAUCUAAGCCACCACAGCAAGGCGAAGUCCAACACCAAUCACGAGUGCAAGGAAGAUGAUCUACACCCAGUCAUCUACAACUUACAACUACUUAACCUACAUCUCUUAACGACAUCUCCUAACCUACAAAUAAUAAUAAUAAACAGCAGCUCUGCGUUUCGUCCCGUUACUGACACAAAGUUUGGGACUGAAAAGAACUCUUCCCUGGAAGCGAUGUGUCACCCUCGAAUGAGCGUAGUUUCGUCAACCGACUGAAGACCGAG